rnacentral:rRNA from 1 species
CGUGCCUAACACAUGCAAGUCGAACGAAGCAUAAAAAAGGAUUCUAACGGAUACUUUUAUAUGACUGAGUGGCGGACGGGUGAGUAACGCGUGGGCAACCUGCCUUACACAGGGGGAUAACAGUUGGAAACAGCUGCUAAUACCGCAUACGAGAAGGGAUACGCAUGUAGACCUUUUGAAAACUCCGGUGGUGUAAGAUGGGCCCGCGUCUGAUUAGGUAGUUGGAGUGGUAACGGCACACCAAGCCUACGAUCAGUAGCCGACCUGAGAGGGUGACCGGCCACAUUGGGACUGAGACACGGCCCAAACUCCUACGGGAGGCAGCAGUGGGGAAUAUUGCACAAUGGGCGCAAGCCUGAUGCAGCGACGCCGCGUGAGCGAAGAAGUAUUUCGGUAUGUAAAGCUCUAUCAGCAGGGAAGAAAGACGAAAGUCAAGGACGGUACCUGACUAAGAAGCUCCGGCUAAAUACGUGCCAGCCGCCGCGGUAAAAC